rnacentral:lncRNA from 1 species
AUGCCAGGAAAGCAUACAUUGAUGGGCAGCCUAAUCAAACUAGAGGACAGAAAUCUACAGGAGUUCUUCUUUUGCAAAAAAGCAGUCACCAGUUUCAAUGUGGGCCCUAUUGGUCACCUGUCACCAGAGGCAGUUCAACCACCAGGCCAACUAGGCAGUUGCCUGUGGCGCCAUCUUGUUGGGGGCACCAUCGAGGCAACUCCUGUCUCCUGCGGCCUGCCUCCGCAAGAUUCUCCAAGAAUUCCAAAUGAAUUCCAUACCUCAUUUCUAGAACUCCCCAAGUCAGCAUAACCACUAUUCAUUCUGGAUGGAGGAUUCAGGAAACUGUAAUUCAAAAGAAAAACUUAUCAAAGCUUUGAAAGAGAGGAUUCUGCUUCACACUUUACACCAUUGGAAGAAUUUUGAAGAAGAAUAUAUGAGUACAAUAAAUGUGAAGGUAUUUGUAUAUAGUCACAAUUGAUAUUUCCUGGUUGCGUACAUACUGAAGAAUAAGUGGUUGUAGAAGUGACCCUUUGAAAAUCCAGAUAGGCUCCUUGAAUUACUUAUCUCCUAUCCACACUGUACAAUUAUCACAGUUUGACAUGAAUUUAUGGCUCUAAUUCAUCCUACAGAAUCCAGGGAGUUUUUUUUUUUUUUUUUGCUUGUUUCAGCAUCAGAAAUCUUUGACACAGAACUACAAAUCCCAGAAUUCCAUAGCAUUGAGCCAUGAUAGUUAAUGUGGUGUCAAAUUGCUUUAAUUCUGUACUGUGGAAACAGCCCUAGACAUUUGUGUGGCAAUACAAGGAGCAUUUCAUACAUUCUAGAAUAUUAUGAUACCCAGAAUAAAAACAAGCUGCUUUGAUAUUUUAGAUGUUAAAACAGCAUUUGACAAUGUAUCAUGGCCAUUUAUAUAGGCUGUCAUAGUGAAGAUAAAAUUUGAACCAGACUUUCAAGAAUGGAUUAAACAGAUUUAUGAGAACUAAAGUGCUCAAAACAUGAUCAAUGACGAAUUGACAAAACCAUGUUAAAUGUAAGGAGGAACUAGACAAGGAUUCCUACUCUUACCAUUGGUGUUUUAAAUGGCAAUAGAGGUACUGAACAGAACAAUAUGAGCUAAAGCAACAUUAAAGGAGUAAACAAAGAGUCAAAGUGAUAAAUUAUAAACAUAUUUACAGAUGACUUGAUUUUCAAGAAGACCCAUUUCAUACGGGUGCAUGUUUGAACCCAAUUCUGAGUGAAUACAGAGAAAUGUGAGGAUUUAACAUUAAUAAGUAGAAAAUAACUGCUUUGAAUAUGAUGAAAGAGGCUCAAAAUUUUUACACGAUAAGUUGUUCAUAAGGUCAAAUACUUGGGAGUAAAUAUCUCUAACAAAAAUUCUGUGUUUAGUGAUAACUAUGGUAAAAUAUGGACGGAGAUUAAAAAGAGAUGCAAAAGGGGAAUGGUCUAAAACUAUCAUUUAUGAGUAGAAUCUCAGUAAUGUGCUACAGCAAUGUCAUUUUUAUUUUGAUUGUUAUUAUUACCAAUUAUUUAUUUAUUUAUUUAUUUUCGUCAUUUCUAUCCCGCCCUUCUCACCCAAAGGGCUCAGGGUGGCUUACAAAACUGGCAGAAUUCGAUGACAAUAUACAAUUAUAGGAAACAAUAUUCCAUUAAAAGAAUGGCAAAAGACUUAUCAAUCUUUAUUUGGCAAGGGAAGAUACCUAGGGUCAGAUUCAAGAUAUUGCAAAACAUAAUGCUUAUUGUGUAACAUGGUUGAAAUUUUGGUUAACAUUGAAAACAAAAACAAAAAAAACCAGCUAGAAGCAGCUGGCAUGAAAUUUAGGAUACAUCUCUUUCUUUGGUGUGAUAAAACAAAAGCAAAUUCAUAAGGAGGGUAUGACUGCGAGUUUGGAAUAAAUGCAAGAUUAGAUUUUAUUCAUAGUUGCCACUAGAUGGGUCUCCACUUGAAGCUUUAUCUAGAAGAAGAAUCUCUUUAAAAGGAAAUUGGUUGACAUAUAAGUACUUUUUAUCAGCAGUUAAUGAUCAAAAUAGGUUAAGGAGGGAAAAUGGAAUCAUGACAGAGAGUAACCCAAUUCGGUAACCCAGAAGGAGUCCAUAUGACACGUCUUGUCUAUUUUGUAUCAGGGCUUUUUUUCUCACACCUCCAAAUCCAUCUGCAAAUCUUAUAUAUAAGUAUACUUUUAAUGGGAAAUUUUCUUUUUGCAUUUUUGCCAUUGCUUUUCAAAUAGGUACACUGAUUGUACAGAUUUUUAGAGUAUAUAGUUAAAUUUUCAUAUUCUGUUGACUACUGCUUCCCCCUACCCUUUGUUGAAUGUAUGACAUGUCCAGAACUUUUCAGACUUCGAAUUAAAAUUGUAUUCAUAUCUAUGUGCAGUCCAGAGCUUUCAGAAGAGGUUUGUGUGAGAGAGCUUUACCUCAGUAAAACAGACUUCUUGCAUCUCCUGAACAUACAGAAGAAUUGUGGAGAAUGUUCAAUGUGUUGGGAAUGGAAGAGCCGUUAAGCUCUAAUCAUCCUCCUUUAUGAGGUAAAUUCCCAUUAAAAUAGCAGAGUAAAGAAUUGCAGCAGCGUGAGACUUAUGCGGUGUGAGUUUUGGAAGGCCUCUGUGUAUUCAGGAAGGCAAAAGGAUGCAAAGUUAGCUUUAAAGUUUAAAAGCAUUUAUUGAGGUAAAAAGAAAUCCAUUGGAUAGAAAAGGUUUGGAACUAACUGGCUAAUCUAUCCUGUUCUAAUACACAUAGACAGAUUAAAAUACCAAAGCUCUAUAGAUAACUACAUCUUGACUAAUAGAGGACA